rfam:Ictidomys tridecemlineatus contig026165, whole genome shotgun sequence.
GGGGUUGUGACUCAGCGGUAGAGCGCUCACCUCAAAUGUGUGAGAGCCUGGGUUCAAUCUUCAGCACCACUU